rnacentral:lncRNA from 1 species
UCUUUGCACUUAAAACAGACAGGAACACAACCAUGAUGAUUUAACACUGAGAAGCGGGCAGUCUCAGGGAAAACUAAUGUAUUUCAUUCACGCUGUGGUGCACCCAGUCACAUCUCUUCACAGAAAGGCAUCUUGAAUCUGAUAGUGUUGAAACACUGUUGGCCGGAAGACAGGCUAUGGUGAGUGGAAUUCCAGGUUGCUGUGUGCAUGCAUAAUCCCAUCCCUACCACUGUGGCCGCUUUAUUCAUGAGUCUAGUGGGUAAUAGUAGUUAUCUGUGGAUGAUGGCAGGGCCUUGCUGCAAAAUCUGAAGGGCCUCCUCUGAAUUCACCUGUAGGUAUCACUGGUAAACUGGGCUCUUUCCUCACUUUUGAUUAGUUGUACAGAAAGAACAUUUAAUUGAAAAAGACACUUAGGUUUUAUUUGAUGGCCAGCGACUGGAGAAGGCAAGCUCUUUCUUUAAAUGCAUGAACAAAAGGCAUGGGGUUCUUAAGGACUAGCUGUGGGGGAAUGAAAGGAAUAUUAGCAUGUGUGGGGUGGGACUCCAGAUGUGCAGGCUCAAUUUGUAAACAUAUGUCUUCAUACAUCACAUAUGCACAGAAUAGCAG